rnacentral:rRNA from 1 species
AUUGAACGCUGGCGGCAUGCCUUACACAUGCAAGUCGAACGGUAACAGGUCUUCGGAUGCUGACGAGUGGCGAACGGGUGAGUAAUACAUCGGAACGUGCCCGAUCGUGGGGGAUAACGAGGCGAAAGCUUUGCUAAUACCGCAUACGAUCUACGGAUGAAAGCGGGGGAUCUUCGGACCUCGCGCGGACGGAGCGGCCGAUGGCAGAUUAGGUAGUUGGUGGGAUAAAAGCUUACCAAGCCGACGAUCUGUAGCUGGUCCGAGAGGAUGAUCAGCCACACUGGGACUGAGACACGGCCCAGACUCCUACGGGAGGCAGCAGUGGGGAAUUUUGGACAAUGGGCGAAAGCCUGAUCCAGCCAUGCCGCGUGCAGGAUGAAGGCCUUCGGGUUGUAAACUGCUUUUGUACGGAACGAAAAGCCUCUUUCUAAUAAAGAGGGGUCAUGACGGUACCGUAAGAAUAAGCACCGGCUAACUACGUG